rnacentral:lncRNA from 1 species
AAAUGUUAACUUAUCUUUUUCUAGGUAACAGGAAAAUAGGCAUUCCAGUUAUUUUAGCUCUCCCAUUAUUUUUCCCAUUGCUUUAUUGACUCAACUUAUAGCAAAGCAAAAGUGAUUUCCCAAUUAAAAUGUUUAGAACAAGAAGAAAUUUCAAUGAAAUACUUGAUUCUGUUAAAAUGCAGAGGUGCUACAACAUUCAAAGUGUCAGAUUCCUUGGGAGUAUGGAAAACCUACUGGUGCUUCUCCCUUGGAAAUGCCAUAGGAAGCUCACAACCGCUAACACUCACAUUUCUGGUGCAAAAGCAAACAGUUCCAACAAGCUAUCUAAAGGAAAACUCAUUGUAACUUAUGUUAAAAUAAUAUAUGGUGCAAAGUAUCAGUUUCAAGCUUUUGACUGAUUUUGACUAAAGGAAUAUGAAGGGAUUGUAAAUAACAAAAUGUCCAUUGAUUGACCAUCAUCUUGUCAAGUAGAUUUCUGCUUCUUGAAUAUGUAAAAUAGAGUAAAUCAUUGACUUGUUUUAGUAUUUUGUGUGCCUUAGAUUUCUGUUUUAAAACAUGUAUAUUUUUGUGAGCCUAAGGUUUCUUAUACAUAUAAGUAUAUAAAUAAGUGAUUGUUUAUUGUUUCCGCUGCUUCAAUAAGAUGUUACUAGUAUUAGACUAUC